AAAUUUUGUUGCUUCUCUCACAUGCAACCAAGCUACCGUCUCUCUUGUGUUGGCGUGACACCGAGCUUAUAGUCUUCGUUAGGACCAUCUUGUUACUUGCUCACUUCCUUGGUCGCGCUAACCUCAUUGAUCUUCUUGUGUGUGUUUCCGUGUUUCCUUGACAUAGAUCACCACUUUUGACAUUUGACUUUGGAUCUUACCCACAUUUGACAAUAGACUUUUCCGUUGAUCUUUUUCGUUUGCUAUCCACCCUUACCCACCACAUAUAGAGUUCUUAGCCUUUUGCGUGUGCUUUGAGUGUGUGUGUGAGUAACCCCGAUACAUUUCGACUUUGCUCUUGGCUUGAACCAUUUUCCGAUACUUUCUUGAUAGGUGAGAUACUUGUGUAGUUUUCCUUCCACCAUACAUAUACACCUAUCCUAGUGAGAUAUACAUGAUGACCCCACAAGAACAAGCCGAGAUGAGAGCAUACUUCGCCGAGCUAGAUGCUCGAGAAGCCCAAAUGACACCCAAAGAAAAAGCCGAGUGCAACGCAUACUUCAAACACCUUGAGAGCAAGAGUGAUACACCCCAUGAGUCGAGUGAGGAUGUUUCGAUUUCUAACAACUUAACCUCUACUCCUCUUGUGUUGUCUUCCUCUUUGCUAGGUUGCUCGGACAUCGACGACGCUAUUGCCAUGGAGAUGAGGGACUCCACUAUAUGUGAGAUGAGCGACUCCACUAUAUGUGAGAUGAGUGACUCCACUGUAUGUGAGCUUGAUGAGUGCCUCCACUUCGAGAGCAUGAGUGAUACACCGUGUGAGAUGAGAGUGGUAGUUGAUAGGUCUUGUGAGGCCAUUUCGAAUUCUAACAACUUACCCUCUACCUCUAGUGUGUUCCCUCGUGUCUCAUUAGGUUCCAUGGAUGACGAGACGCCGAUCAUGGAGAAGAUGUACAUGGUGCAUGAAGAUGAUGAUAUCACACCAUGCUUGUUGCUUGAAGAUGAACAUGGAGGCCACGUCGAGCCUACCUCUUCCACAACACCUACCUCAUAUGAGCGGGACUACAAAGGUACCUAUAUGGGUGUUGAUGAUGCCAUGAUCCCACUAGUGGACAUGAUGAUUUGUGAGUGCUUGCAUGAGUUGGAUGAUCCUAUUGCCAUGUCAUAUGCUUCGUUCUUAUUCCCAUGUGAUGCUUUGCUUGAUAACAUUGUUGAUCAUGUGGAAUUAGUUGCUUAUGAUAAUAUGUCCAUGCCAUGCUAUGAGAGUUUCCCUUUCUCUCCUAUUGCUUGCAACUUAUCGAACAAUUUCUCUUUCCCAUGUGUUGAUUGCAAUAAGGACAUUGAUGCUUGUGUUGUGACAACCUUGCCGAACAAUUGCUCUUUCCCUAGGUUUGUCGACAACAAUGAUCAAAUGUUGAACAUGUUUUGUGCUACAUGCUUGCAAUAUUCUCCCAUUAAUGCAACCAAAAUGAUGAACAAUUUCUCUUUCCAAUGCUUGGCUUGCAAUAGUGUUAAUAUGCUUGUAAAUGAGAUUGCCCCCAUAGCUCUCUCAAAUUUUGGAGACUUUGCAUAUAUCCAUGUUGAUCAUGUUACCAUGUUUACUCCGCAUAUUCACCAUAUCUAUUAUGAUGCUUGGCUUAUCGCUAAUGGUGAUGUGCAAAAGAGAUGGACCAUCAUGAUGGAUGAUGUGUUCAUAUACCAUGCACACACGUUGUUCUUGUUGUCUAACAUGUGUGUAGGUACCCAAAAUCCAAUGUCAACCUCGAUUGAGCACGAGUUGACAAAAAGAGCUCUUGAGAGCAUGAUACAAGUGAGCUCCAAUGAGUGGUUUUGCCCGCACACUUCAACUACACAAGAUCUCUCAAUGAGAGCACACCGACACUUUGAUAAGGUGACCUCCUUCUACUUGCGCCCUCUUCCUAAAUCCAUUGAACUUUGGCUACGCUUUGAUUGCUCCUUUGCUUUUCUUGUGCUAUUGAUAGGGCUCUUGACAAGUGAAGGGACAUUCAAGCGUUGGUGUCAUCUACCUCCUCUACACAUUCAUGAAGACUCAUCGUCGAGGACGACUCUUUUUCAAGUGGGGGGAGAUGAUGUAGCCCGACCUACGGUCUUCGCUUCAUCAUGUGCUUCAACGACAAGAACCACACUCAAGGCCGAGGUCACGGAGGCAUGGAAGAGAAGAAGGAAGAAGAGCGCCCGAGGUCGCCAAGAAGAGACGGCGCAUGAAGCACGACUGCUCGGAUUAUCCGCCCCACUAAGGCCGGACAAUCCGCCCCCCCUAUGUGUCCAAGUCAAUUCGGGCCAAGUCCCAUGUACCCCCCUUGUAUGCCUAAACUACCCCUCCUUAGUGGCUCCCUAUAUAUAGGCUCCCACCUCCCCCUUCAUUAGGUUAGGAAUGAACUUGAGAGAAUUAGGCUCAUGCCUCCACCAUCCCUUUGGGAUUAGGGUAACCCCCUCCUUAGAUUAUCCAAAUCUAUUGUACAAGGCACUCCUUAUAUGAUUAGUCUCUCACACUUGUGAUUCUACCACCGGCCUCUCACUCGUGUGAUUCCACCGAUCGUAUACCGAUCUUCCUCUCGGGGAUUCUACCGUGUGUCUCUCCCUUGAGAGAUUCUAUCGGGAUAGUGGUUCGGGCUAUCGGGAGUAAACCGGAAUUGUAUCGGGUUGGUGUGUGUUUGCGUGUGUUCAUCGUGUUCA